rnacentral:misc_RNA from 1 species
ACAGUGUAGUGGACAACCCGCCUUAAAACAAUGCGAGAAAUAAUUCAUGUCCAGGUCGGACAGUGCGGGAACCAGAUUGGCUCCAAAUUCUGGGAGGAGAUCUCCUACGAGCAUGGGAUCAAUCCCCACGGAAAAUACGAAGGGGACAACGAUAUCCAACUGGAGCGGAUCAAUGUUUUCUUCACGGAGGGCCAGGGCGGGUCGUACGUGCCCCGCUCGUGCAUGGUGGAUCUCGAACCCGGGACCAUGGACGCCAUCAAAGGGGGACCGUACGGCUCAAUCUUCAGACCCGACAAUUUCGUUUUCGGACAAAACGGCGCGGGUAACGUGUGGGCCAAGGGUCACUAUACAGAGGGCGCAGAACUCGUGGAGGAGGUGUGUGAUGUAUUACGGAGGGAGGCGGAGAACUGUGACUGUCUGCAGGGCUUCCAGCUGACCCACUCCAUCGGCGGGGGACCGGGUCAGGGAUGGGGACCCUCAUCCUCAGCAAGAUCAAGGAGGAGUUCCCCGACCGUAUCAUGUGUUCCUAUUCCGUCCACCCGUCCCCUAAAGUUUCUGAGGUAGUUGUUGAGCCGUACAACGCAGUCCUCUCAGUUCACCAGCUUCUCGAGAACACAGACGAGACCUUUUGCAUCGAUAACGAGGCUCUAUACGAUAUCUGCUUCCGGAACUUGAAACUUUCGAACCCGAGUUAUAACGAUCUCAAUCACCUCGUUUCACACACGAUGUCAGGGGUCACGACCUGUCUGAGGUUUCCAGGGCAACUGAACGCUGAUCUGAGGAAACUGGCUGUCAACAUGGUUCCCUUCCCGCGAUUACACUUCUUUAUGCCCGGUUUUGCCCCGCUGACGUCACGAAACAACGCGCAAUUUCGAGCGCUGACGGUGGCGCAACUUAUCCAGGAGGUGUUUGAUGCUAGGAACAUGAUGACGGCGUGCGAUCCCCGACGCGGCAGGUACUUGACGGUCGGCACCUUCUUCCGCGGGAAGAUGUCAAUGAAAGAAGUCGAGGAGCAAAUGAUGCAGGCCCAGAAUAAGUUUUCGGCCAAUUUCGUCGAAUGGAUUCCGAACAACCUGAAAACAGCGGUGUGUGACAUUCCACCAAGGGACGUGAAAAUGUCUGCCACAUUUGUCGGAAAUAGUACGGCCAUCCAGGAACUGUUUUAUCGUAUAUGUGACUCAUUCGCUCUCAUGUUCCGCCGAAAGGCUUUCCUGCAUUGGUACACGUCUGAGGGCAUGGAUGAAAUGGAGUUCUCGGAGGCCGAUUCCAACAUGAAGGACCUUAUUUCUGAAUACCAGCAGUACCAGACUGUUGGUCUGGACAACGACUUCGACGAAGUUGAGGAGGAAGAAGAGGAAGAGGAGGUGAUGUGAACCAGCUAAACAGGGACCAGUUAAAUUUAUUUCUUACUUGAAACGCCGUAUAGGUUUUAAAAAAGAUUUUAGUGGAAAUGGUGUUAACAAUGUAAACUUGUAUAAUUAUGUUUUGACUGUGAUUUAAAAAAUAACUUUCGUAUUUU